rnacentral:rRNA from 1 species
CGAUUGGACUCUAGAGAUAGAGCUUCCCCUUCGGGGGCAAAGUGACAGGUGGUGCAUGGUUGUCGUCAGCUCGUGUCGUGAGAUGUUGGGUUAAGUCCCGCAACGAGCGCAACCCUUAUUGUUAGUUGCCAUCAUUCAGUUGGGCACUCUAGCAAGACUGCCGGUGACAAACCGGAGGAAGGUGGGGAUGACGUCAAAUCAUCAUGCCCCUUAUGACCUGGGCUACACACGUGCUACAAUGGGAAGUACAACGAGUUGCGAAGUCGCGAGGCUAAGCUAAUCUCUUAAAGCUUCUCUCAGUUCGGAUUGCAGGCUGCAACUCGCCUGCAUGAAGCCGGAAUCGCUAGUAAUCGCGGAUCAGCACGCCGCGGUGAAUACGUUCCCGGGUCUGAAA